rnacentral:tRNA from 1 species
GUUCUUUUAGUCUAACGUAUGGUUUAAUACCUAGAAUGAUAUUGCCUUUAAGGGCAAAGGUACGGGUUCAAAUCCCGUAAGGAACU